CAGAAGUGAACAAAAAGUAAACAUAAAAAUAUAUAAAAUCAUUAAAAGCACUUCCAGAAUAUAAGAGAAAUUAAUGCUUAAUCGAAUUGUUCAAAAUAAUUUCUUAAACCAAAUGUUUUAAAACUUGUUGAAUAACAUUUGGUUGACUAAGGACAAUAUCUAAAUGAUUUUCAAAGAGAGGUAAUUAUAGAGAGCAUACAAAGUAUACAACAAUACCUGUCUUUUUCUUGAUGAACGUUUCCUCACAGGUGAGGAUGAGGAUGAUGUAGCAGUCACAGGGGCAGGUGAUGAACUUUUCCUCACAGGUGAGGAUGAGGAUGAUGUAGCAGUCACAGGGGCAGGUGAUGAACUUUUCCUCACAGGUGAGGAUGAGGAUGAUGUAGCAGUCACAGGAGCAGGUGAUGAACUUUUCCUCACAGGUGAGGAUGAGGAUGAUGUAGCAGUAACAGGGGCAGGUGAUGAACUUUUCCUCACAGGUGAGGAUGAGGAUGAUGUAGCAGUCACAGGGGCAGGUGAUGAACUUUUCCUCACAGGUGAGGAUGAGGAUGAUGUAGCAGUAACAGGGGCAGGUGAUGAACUUUUCCUCACAGGUGAGGAUGAGGAUGAGGAUGAUGUAGCAGUCACAGGAGCAGGUGAUGAACGCU
ensembl:lncRNA